GGCGAAGCCAGCUGCUGGAGGUGCCGAGAAUCUGAGUUUCGGCAAGCAGCCAGGUCUGGAAACUGUGAGUGUGUGGGCUUUUCUCCGACGUCGAGCGUGGUCCUAGCGUAAACAGAUGCAUUCGCCUCUCCGGUUUCAAUCUUUUUUUACGUUUGCGCUUUCCUCAAGGCCGGUGGGUCAGGAGUGGAGCCUUAGUCAUUCUAACGCUGGAGGUGUCAGUAGGACCAACAGAGUCUGGUGCCGACACGGCUUACUGUUGCGCGCUCUUCUAGGCCUCAACUUCCUCUCAACUGUGUGGUCAGUUCAGGGCCGGGAAUCCAAUCUUUUCCGAGCUCCAUAUUUUAUCCACUUGGUGGCGUCCAGUCCCAAGUCCGGCAGUUGAAUUCUGCCCUAAAGAUGGGCUUUAUUUCUAUCUUUUUUUAGGUAACAGGACAUUCAGUUAGUAAUGAUGGUUGCAGGUUGAAUAGUCUCGCCCUAGAUCUCACCUAACUUGCAGUAAGUAUCAAGUGCUUGUGUGCCGAUUAAAGAACAACUUCGGAUACAAUGGGAGGUGUCAAGGAAACGAAUAUUUUAAAAAUGACUACACCAAACAAGACACCUCCUGGUGCUGACCCCAAGCAGUUGGAAAGGACUGGAACAGUACGGGAAAUUGGGUCACAAGCUGUUUGGUCACUCUCAUCUUGCAAACCAGGAUUUGGAGUGGAUCAGUUACGAGAUGACAAUCUAGAAACUUAUUGGCAAUCAGAUGGUUCCCAGCCUCAUUUAGUGAACAUCCAAUUCAGGUAAUUAAUACAUUUUCAAAUUUUUCAUCUACUGUAGGUUAUAGACAAAUAAAUCUAUUUUAUUAACAUAA
rnacentral:lncRNA from 1 species